GUGUGUGUGUGUCAGUAUGUCUGUGUGUAUGCCAGUAUGUCUGUGUGUGUAUGCCAGUAUGUCUGUGUGUGUGUGUGUGUGUCAGUAUGUCUGUGUGUAUGCCAGUAUGUCUGUGUGUGUAUGUCAGUGUGUCUGUGUGUGUAUGCCAGUAUGUCUGUGUGUGUGUGUGUGUCAGUAUGUCUGUGUGUAUGCCAGUAUGUCUGUGUGUGUGUGUGUCAGUAUGUCUGUGUGUAUGCCAG